rnacentral:lncRNA from 1 species
CACUUCAUGUUUAUAUAGAAGUCCCCAGUGCACACUCCUGCAACGUGGGUUCCCUCUUUGUACAGACUGAGAAGACGAACUCCAGAGGACGCUCUACCUAAAGUCUGAAGGCCAACAGUUGGGGAAACGCUUAAGGAGGUGUUUCUUGGCUUGGAUUUAGAAGUCAGUGAUCCAAAGAUGGAAGACGCCCACCUUCUACCCCAGGACACCUCCAUAACUUCUGUCUAGAAGUUUAAGGAUGGAUUCUAUAAACCAAGAAAGAAAAAAAAGUCAUCAGAAGAAACGAAUCUAAAAAUAAAGCUGGAAGCAUCCAGAAUCUUGAUGGUGUACCAAACCAAAUGUCAACUGGAACACGACCAAAAACCGAAGUGCUCUCUGACAAACGAAGCAGAGGAAAAGCAGAUGUGCACAGAGCAGAAAGUGCACGAUCCCAGACAAGAUGGAACUUUUUCUGUGUCUGCUACCAUGCCGUAAGUAAGGGUCCUUCACGUGGUCUAUUUGUUGUCACAGUUUUGCUUUUGUGUGGUCCUUUUAAAAUGUCUCUCACACAAUGUGCUGAAGCUCUGUCUACUGUUCCUGAGCACAAGAAGGCUGUAAUGUGCCUUGCAAGGAAAAUACGUAUGUUAGAUAUGUUUUGUUCAGGCCCAAGUUAUGGGACUGUUGGCUGUGAGUUUGUUCUAAAGGAAUUAAGCAAUACAGAUUGGAAAAGGCACCUUUAAAGAGAAAUACACAACAAACAAGGAAUCUGUUGAUAUGUGUUGACCAGAGACUCCCAGGAACCUAACCCUAUAUUUCUCGUAGAGGAAAUGUCCCAGUAUUCAUAAUUCACUGAAUUCAGUAAUCAGUGUUCAUAGCAAUUUUAUAGAACAGAACUACCACAAGCAGUAAGAGCUGACUGUAUUUUUGAAAACUCUGAGAAAGACUUAUGCUAUUUAAUUGGAAAAACAAGGGUGGUAUCUGAAAUCAUGUUUUCCCAGCAAAAUAUUUUUCUCAGACUAUGUCAGUUGUAAAGAGCAUUUCUGUGCAUUCCGUCCGAGGCUGGAAGGCCUUUGUUAGAUUAGAGAGUAUUUUAAAUCUGUUUGAUAACAGACUGGUGAACAAUGGCAGUGAGGAGUAGUUCAGAGUGUGGGUUUUGUCCCUACAUAGAUUUGGGUUCCCCUCUUAUUAGCACUGCAAUCUUCAAGUCAUUUGCUUGAUGACCUGAAGUGGCUCCAUUUGCCUGAAGCUCAGUUUUUCUGAUGUGUGCAAGAUAUAAUUGAAUAAUAUGAGGUAAUUUUAAAAGUUCAUGAAAAAAAUGAAACUAAAAAGUUUAUUUUGGUGCAAAAUAAUUUUACAAUCUAAGCACAGGUUUUAUGUAAUGUGCAUUUUCCAUGAACUUUUGGAAAAUCCCUUGUAAUAACACCCAUUUCUUAAGACUUUUGUGCUCAAACAACAUGAUGAGUGGAAAUUAAUACACACAUUUCCCAGUAGACAGCAGUGCUCAGUACAUGUUAGCUUUGUUAUUCUUUUCAGGGUCUGAUACAGUGUAGGAUUUGGGAGAAAAUGUGUCUCAGAACUCUUCAUGUUGAGCUUGUUAUUGGGCUAUUUGAGGUCAAGGAGGCAGCACAAUCAGGGCAACAUAGAAUAGACAUUGUGAAUUCUUACCUGCUGAUCACCCACCUCACUAAGGUAGGCUAUGCCCACCUCUUUGUACUUAUCAUUCAUUCGCCAAAAACAUGCUGUGUACACAAAACUCUGGGACUGAGUCUGCUCUGUUGCUUCUCAGUCUACACGCACUGAGUGACAGCAGGUCAGUUUAUUAGGGAACACAUCACAGGGAGGACUCUAGACAGUGCCUAGAGUGACGACUGCAGGGGCUGUGGGAUUCUUGGAGCAGACCUAGUAGCACCUGCCCUCUGGUCUCUCUCAGGCUUCUCGAGACAGGGUUCUGAGCAGUGUGAGCACAGGGAGUUUCUUGGCUUCUCUGUGCAGUGCCUCUGUGAGGGAAGGUGGACAAGACGGGGAGGCCUUUUGCACACUCACAGUCCCACCUCCCUCUGUGCUCCCUGCAUGGUAGGGCACAGGGAGUGUGGAGAGAGAAACUCACUUCUCAGGAGCAGUGGUUCCUGUGGCACUUCUAAGGGGCACGUGGGAGUAUGUGCAAUGGUGGAUGGGGAACAAAUAUCAGAAUUUCUCAGAGGCAAAUGUAGUUUGAGAAAGGCCCAGACAAGAUCUGACAGCCCCCACCCCAUGGCCCUCAGCAGAGUGUGGCAUUUCCUUCUCCCGUGACCAUCUGGUGAGGCACCUUGGCUUCUCCAAAAUGUUCUGUUCUAACUCAGUGCCCACACUGGGUGUUAUUCUAACCCAAGCUCUUACUUUAUUGCUGAGAGUGACUUGUUCUUAGUCAUGCCUUUAGAUGGCUUAAGGGACAUAUCUUAGAUUCUCUCUCUGGAACAUUACUGAUACCAGGGCAUCAUCCAUGCAUUUUAAACCUCAGAAAUACUCUUUCCUGCACAAAAACAUUGUACUACUAUUUCCGUCCACAGGCCUUGAUUUCUUUCAUUAGUUAGUCAGUCUCUCUUUUUCUCUCAACUUAGAUGGCAGAACAUUUUCCUUUGAUCUUCCUUGUUUGUAAGAAAUUUUGAGACUCUUGCCUUUAAAAAGGACUUUAAAAGGAAAUAGUACAAUUAAGAAGAGAUUUGUGUCAACAAAUAUUCAGUUUUGUGGGUUUAUUUUGUUUUCUUGGGCCUUUGAAUUGGCUACUAAUCACAGUAUCCUUUGUAGUAACAUAAUUUCUUUAGCUGUAUUCUAGGAGUCAUUAAGACCUCUUGCUCACUGUCCAUGGAAAACAUCUCAGUAUUAUCUAUUACAUCUAUGCAAAGCCACAGCUACCAGUCUCUAUUGCAUGUUACUGCUUAUUAAUAACACUACCUACUAAACUAAUUAAAUGUGAAAGUUUGUGUAUAACUCAGAGGCCUGAAGAGAAGCAUGUAAUAGAAAAUUUCUGGGUUGAGUGAUGUGGUCAGUGGGUUAAAUGACAUUUGAGAUGCCACAUCCCAUAUUGGAGAACCUUGGAUUGAGUCCCACCUCUGCCUCUGAUCCAGUUUCCUGCUAUUGUGCAUCCUGGAAUGGAACAAAUGAAGGCCCAAAUACCUGGGUCCCUGUCACGCAUGUGGGAGACUCCAGAUGGAGUUCCUGGAUUCUGGCUUUGGUCUGGCCCAGCUCUGGCUGUUGUGAGCAUCUGUGAAAUGAACAAUGGUUAGAAAAUAAUUUUCUCUCUGUCUCUCCCCUGCUCUCUGUCACUCUGUAUUUCAAAUAAGUAAAUAUAUUUUUAAAAAUUCCCAUCAAGUGUACCUAGUUAAGAGAAGACUCGAAUUACAAAAGUGAGAAAAAAUUGACCAGAAUUUAUAAUGACGAUUGAGCUGCUGAGCUGGAAUUCAUUCUCUUAACUAUAUAGCAAGUCGAGGGUCUGGGUGUUUUGGUUACCAAUGAGGAAUAUUUUCUACAUUCAGAAGUUUUACUAGUGUGAAUUGCAAAAUAAUAAUCUGGUUUAUUUUGCUUAAGACCUAAGAGGACUGCAGAUUUGUUGUGGGACUAUGACCUGAGAAAGGUAACUAUUCAUACCAUGACUGAAAUGAUGUCUUGUUGGGACAUAUACCUCAAUUUAUGUCUAGGUUCUAUCUCUUAUUAAUGGCAAAAUUUAUCACUGAGUAUUUAUUCCUGACCUGUUAAAUUUUUUUAAAAAGCCCUGGUGUCUACAACCUAAUAAAAGAUAAAGAAUUUUAUAUCCA